ACACACACAUUCAAGCACAGGGAACUGGUCAUCUGUUUCCUCACUUCAUGAGCCUUCUCUCGUCUGAAAUUAACCUAGUAACCUUGGAUGACUAAGAGUGAGAAUUUUUACCAAAAAAACAAAGUUUUACAAUGGAAUCAGCUGAAUGACUCAGCUGUACUGCACCAUGAGAAAGUAUGUUACUUCGUUACAUUUUGUCACACUACAUCCACAAGCUUUAAUGUAUUUUAAUGUGAUUCCAUAUGAUUGACGAAUAAGGUAGAGGAUAACGGUGGAGUGGAAGAAAAAUCACACACUGUUUCAGCAUUUUUCACAACUAAAAAGCAUAAAAAUAAAAUCCUGUCUAUUGUAUACUGUAUACAAUAGACAGGAUGUUAACUGCAUAUAGAGGGCAAUAAUAAAAUCAAAGCAGCCAAAAGUCCCGGCAGUAACUGGAGAAAUCAUGGAGGUCCACAGCUCAGACGGGAGAGUCUGUUUCUCUAAAGAACAUCUAUAAUGAUCACAGAUGCAGAACUGAACACCGAGUAUCGAUCACUGAGUAGAUAAGACAAGCCUUGUUCACAUUAUUGGAGGGUGAACAACUCAGGGAAAAGUAGCGUAAGGGCACCAACGUGAUUGCAACAGAACAUGUAACCUGUUCUCUGGGCUGAUUUACUGUGUGCUGAAUGACAGUAGGUCAGGAAGGAAGUACAGAACAUGCACAAGUCUGGCUUCUUCCUCUGAACUGGGUCACAGUCCAAGUACAGAGGCUGUAUGUGUCACUUCAUGCUGAGGUCAGUGCACUUCCUAUUUAUGUGUAAUGUGAAUUACACAAAAGUCAUUCUCACACACACACACAUAGAAAAAUGGUCUUUAUAAUGUAUCAAGUACAAACCCCCCCACACACACUCCUCAAUUAGGUCAGUGUGUUUUUAUUUAUGCAGCUGUUGUUUAAUUACAUAUAUCCUCACAGGGGAGCCUCUGUUUGCACUCAAAGUUCUAAGCAAACGACUUCGACUCGUUGAACUUUAUCUUUCUUCGUCCACAGCGAUCAUGUGACAUACUGGCAUAUAAGCGACAAUAUGGCCACAGCUUUUACAUCACUUUUUUUUUCAUCUGACUUGUCUUUGUCAAAAUACAAGAUUACAGCGUCAAUCCCCCUUAUAUAUUAAGAUUUUAGAUUAAGUUGCCAAAAACUGUACUCAAAUAACUUCAGUAGAAGAAAAAGAAUUAACCCAAAAAAUUAGUAAAAAAGUAUAAGGGUACUUGAGCAUCACUGUGUAAUCUGAUUUAAUUUGUUAAAAUAUUGUAUUUAUACAGAAAUUAUACAAAUGGAAUAAUAAAAGAAUAAGUAAAUAUAAAUAACAUCAUCAUAAGAUAAAAAAUGGGCAACAAAACCACAAACUCAACAAAUAGAAAAUAACAUGAAGCUUUUUUUUUUUACAAAACUUAAGUCUCACCAUUCACAGCACUGUGUUUCUGUAUCAGGUGGGUUUUUAGUCAAAACAUACUUGCUGUAUUUUGUGAAGUAACCGGAGUAGCCAAAAAUUUGACUCAAACAAGAGUUUUAUUUGUAAAACUUUUGUUUGAAGUAAAAAAUAUGAUGCCGUAAAACUGCUCCUAAUUUUUUUUUUCAAAGUUACUUGGGUAAAUGUAGCUAACUAAAUGUAACUAAAGUAAAAGUAACUAGUAACUACGUACUUCUGGUUCUAGAGCUGUUUUCUUUCUAUAUUUCUUGCUUUACUUUGCACACCAAAGUCUAAGAAUUAAAUACACAGCAAAUAAACUGUUUUUCUUGUACUUAAGUUCUUCCCUUUUGCUGAUCUGUAGCUUGACUACAGUUAAUGAUUCAGCACAUUGUCAUAGUGAGUCAUAUGCUGACAAACCCAUGAUAG